GAAAAAAUGAGGCUUCAAUCCUCAUUUUCUUCCCUGCCAGUCGACCUCUCCUCUCUUUGCGCGAAGCUAGGCAAAUGGCGACAUCCAAGGCGAACGACCCAGGACGACACUAAGGAUGGGUCGCAAACGGUGGUGAACACCGACAAUAAAUGAGUUGUACGACUCAGACUGCGUCAAUGUGGACAUUGCUGGAGUUGGGUUCACAUAGGGAUGGGCUCACGAGGGAUUGGGUUUGCUAGAACUGAAUUUGUGGGGAGAUGGGUCAUGGGGCACCGAGCAUACAUAUGAUUUUGGUUAAUCUCUUUGCAAUGCAUAUUGGCAAAUCAGCUGAGCAAAUUGAAGUUGACAUUAGGCGUCCAAAAUAUUUUAGUCCUAGUGAGGCAGUUGAAUAUGGUGUCAUAGACAAGGUAAGUUUACAGCAGAAGGUAACAAGUAGCACCUCAGGAAUGCGUGAGACUGUUGAAACAAGUUUGCUUUCAUAGCAUAGGGCAAAGGAAGUAGUACAAAUUCUUACUUUGGAAAGACUAUUGGUAACGAUAGUGAGUACAAGGACAAGAAGAAGAAAUAUAUGUUGUUGGACAAUGAAUUUAGUGUUUUAUUUUAUUUGUAAUUUUUAUUAGAAUAAAUGAUUCCUUGGAAAUAUUUUGUAUAAGUUUUGUUAUUUUAAUCUAUAAUUUUUUA